rnacentral:misc_RNA from 1 species
UCGUAACAAGGUUUCCGUAGGUGAACCUGCGGAAGGAUCAUUACCGAGUGCGGGCCCUCUGGGUCCAACCUCCCAUCCGUGUCUAUCUGUACCCUGUUGCUUCGGCGUGGCCACGGCCCGCCGAAGACUAACAUUUGAACACUGUCUGAAGUUUGCAGUCUGAGUUUUUAGUUAAACAAUAAUUAAAACUUUCAACAACGGAUCUCUUGGUUCCGGCAUCGAUGAAGAACGCAGCGAAAUGCGAUAAUUAAUGUGAAUUGCAGAAUUCAGUGAAUCAUCGAGUCUUUGAACGCACAUUGCGCCCCCUGGUAUUCCGGGGGGCAUGCCUGUCCGAGCGUCAUUGCUGCCCUCAAGCACGGCUUGUGUGUUGGGCUUCCGUCCCUGGUAACGGGGACGGGCCCAAAAGGCAGUGGCGGCACCAUGUCUGGUCCUCGAGCGUAUGGGGCUUUGUCACCCGCUCCCGUAGGUCCAGCUGGCAGCUAGCCUCGCAACCAAUCUUUUUAACCAGGUUGACCUCGGAUCAGGUAGGGAUACCCGCUGAACCUAAGCAUAUC